UAAGCGUUAAGUAAUGAAGUGGGUGUAAGGAAAAAAAAAAUUACGCUUUCUCUCUCUAUAUCCCUCUUCCCCCAAAAGUUCCCCCCUUUCUCUUUCUCUCUCUGCAAACCCUAGCUCCGUUCCUUCACCGCCAUCGCCAUCACAAUCACCAUGGCUAAGAAGCGAAAGGUUCGACCUUCCGAGCCCGAACCCCCCAAACAAGAGCAAGAGCAAGAGCUUCAACAACAACAGCCACCACACGAAGAACUAACCUUAGAUCAACAACAAAGCAUGACCAUCGAUGACGCAGCGCCACAACAAGACCAACCUCAAAACGACAUCGCAAUAGAAGAAGAACAAAACAACGAAGGAGAAGGAGAAGAAGAAGCAGAAGAAGAACAGCAACAGGAGGAUCAGCAGCAACAACAGCAAGGAGGGGGAGAAACCCUAGAAAGCCAGGAAGAGCAGAUUCAACAGCAGGCUUCGGGUUCGGAUUCGGUCCGGGCCGAGGCUAACGGCUCCGAGCAGCAACAGGAAGAGGAGGACCUCGAUUUGGAAGACGAGCCAAUCGAGAAGCUUCUAGAACCCUUCACGAAGGAGCAGCUACACUCCCUUGUCAAGCAAGCCGUCGAGAAGCACCCCGAUUUCUCCGAAACCGUUCGCCAGCUGGCAGAUGUGGACCCCGCACACCGGAAGAUCUUCGUCCAUGGGCUUGGCUGGGACACUACCGCAGAAACCCUAACCGCCGUGUUCGGAAAAUACGGCGAAAUUGAAGACUGCAAGGCCGUGACGGACAAAAUCUCCGGAAAAUCGAAGGGAUACGCGUUCAUCCAAUUCAAGCACCGCGCUGGAGCGCGAAGGGCGCUUAAGCAGCCGCAGAAGAAGAUUGGGAACAGAACAACUUCGUGCCAGUUGGCCUCUGCGGGACCUGUUCCGUCGCAGCAGGCGGCCGCGCCGGGUGCCCCGGUUGUGUCAGAGUAUACACAGAGGAAGAUCUUUGUUAGCAAUGUGAGUGCGGAGAUUGAUCCUCAGAGGCUUCUGGAAUUCUUCAAGCAGUUCGGGGAGAUUGAGGAUGGGCCUCUUGGGAUUGACAAGCAGACAGGGAAGCCUAAAGGGUUUGCUCUUUUCGUGUACAAAACAGUUGAGAGUGCGAAGAAGGCGUUGGAGGAGCCAAACAAGAACUUUGAAGGGCACACCCUUUAUUGCCAGAAGGCUGUUGAUGGUCCCAAAGGGUUCAAUAAGGGUGGAUUUCAUCAGCAGCAGCAUCACCAUCAACAGCACUAUCAGCACCAAUCACAUCACCAUCAUCAGGGUCACUUUCAUAGGAAGGAUAAGAACAAGUAUUCCGCUGGUGGGCCUGCACAUGGCGGUGGUGCUGGUCACUUGAUGGCGCCGUCGGCUCCAGGGCCUGCUGUUGGAGGUUACAAUCCUGGUGUGCCACCUGCUGCUGCGGCGCAGGGUCUCAACCCUGCACUUGGGCAGGCGCUGACGGCGUUGCUUGCUAAUCAGGGUGCCGGAUUGGGACUUGGGAACCUGCUUGGAGGGAUCGGUGGUGCUCCUGUGAACCAGCCUGGUCCACCUGCUGGUGGAUAUGGGACUCAGCCAGCUAUGGGAUAUGGGAACCAGCCGGGGAUGCAGCCGCAGUACCAGAAUCCUCAGAUGGGGCAGAGUAGUGGGGUUAGGCCUCACCCCGGUGCUGGCGCACCUUACAUGGGUCAUUAGGCAACAAUUGGUGACACAUGCUGGUGUGUUCGUCUCGCUGUAUAUAAGUGUCAAGUGUGCUCUGGUUUGUAGUGAAUGUCGUGGAGAAGAUCUGAUGGGUGCUAUCAUGUUACCAUCUUUGGACUUAACAAUGGUUUCAGAAAGGCAUCAUGAUGAUGGAGAGGCAGUUGACAUGUUUUCUCAAGUCAUGAUGGUAUUCUUGAAUGGAGCUGAUAAAUCUCUAGAGGUGUUAUUAGGCAAGGAGUUAUGUAUGGGAAAAUCUAUUGGUGCUUCUUUCUUUGAAUUGGAAAACUUCUAGAGAGAAGGGUGUUCAAAGUAUAAUUAGUCAUAUUAAAGAAGGUUUUGCAUGCUAUUAACACACAAAUUUAUGAUUACAGUGGUUAAUUAACUUUCGUGGAUUAUUGUUUGCAACCAUAUAGGGCUCUACCAUUGCAUGCCUUUGAACUGAA